rnacentral:snoRNA from 1 species
CCCCUCUCAGGGUCGCAUCUGGAGAGUUUCUGUUGCUCUACCAGUCUCGACUAUGAGAGGGAGAGUCGAGCAGAGGCCUGUCCAUUCCAUUCCUGGCUUGGCCAGUGGCUAGCGAGUGGAAGACAAUCUGCUACAAGU